rnacentral:misc_RNA from 1 species
UCUCCGUAGGUGAACCUGCGGAGGGAUCAUUACAGAGUUCAUGCCCUCACGGGUAGAUUUCCCACCCUUGUGUAUUCAUACCUUUGUUGCUUCGGCAGGCCGCUGGGCUUCGGCCUGGCCACCGGCUCCCGGGCUGGUGCGCGCCUGCCAGGGGACCUCUAAACUCUGUUUGUCAGUGUCGUCUGAGUAUUAUACAAUCGUUAAAACUUUCAACAACGGAUCUCUUGGUUCUG